rnacentral:rRNA from 1 species
GGGUACCUACGGGAGGCAGCAGUAGGGAAUUUUCGUCAAUGGGCGCAAGCCUGAACGAGCAAUGCCGCGUGAACGAGGAAGGUCUUCGGAUCGUAAAGUUCUGUUGAAGGGGAAAAAGAGCGGAGAGAGGGAAUGAACUCCGAUUGAUAUUACCCUUCGAGGAAGUCACGGCUAACUACGUGCCAGCAGCCGCGGUAAUACGUAGGUGGCGAGCGUUAUCCGGAAUGAUUGGGCGUAAAGGGUGCGUAGGCGGCCUGCUAAGUCUGGAGUGAAAGUUACCGGCUCAACCGGUACAGGCUCUGGAA